rnacentral:tRNA from 1 species
GGGGCUGUAGCUCAGCUGGGAGAGCACCUCGUUCGCAACGAGGGGGUCACGAGUUCGAAUCUCGUCAGCUCCA